UACGAAGGGGGCUAGCGUUGUUCGGAUUUACUGGGCGUAAAGCGCACGUAGGCGGACUAUUAAGUCGGGGGUGAAAUCCUGGAGCUCAACUCCAGAACUGCCUUCGAUACUGAGGAUCUCGAGUCCGGGAGAGGUGAGUGGAACUGCGAGUGUAGAGGUGAAAUUCGUAGAUAUUCGCAAGAACACCAGUGGCGAAGGCGGCUCACUGGCCCGGUACUGACGCUGAGGUGCGAAAGCGUGGGGAGCAAACAGG
rnacentral:rRNA from 1 species